ensembl:lncRNA
AGCUUCGAGGCCCCGGCAGGAAGGGGAAGGGGCCUGCACAGGCCGCGCUGCUCUGAAACAGGACCGGGAGCUCUCGCCCCGCAGGGCUUGGCGGUGGGAUGGACUCUGGCUCCCUGGCUGUUCCUGGCCUGCCCGGGGGGCGCUGUGUGCUUCGGCCCCUGCAGGAGGGGGAGGGUCCCAGCGGCUCCGAACCAGGGCAGCUGCCAUCUGGAAACCACUUCCACCUGUUUUAGACCCCAUGUCUGCACCAUGACUGCGGGGGGUCCCCUUCGGGAGGUGUCACAUGAAGCCGUCCUGCAGACCCCUGCCCUCCGGGGAGGCAAGACGCACAAACGAGCGACUGAGUCCAUCACGAGCUUGGGCAGAGCAGGGGCAACGGAGCCCAGGAAAGAGCGCUUUACAGUGAAGGAUCACAUCCUUUUGUCUGUAACGGAUUUCCACCUCCUGACGGGGCUCACAGCCCUCAGGGUCCUGGUCGCAGGCGGACGUUCUGUCGUCUGAGUUAUGCUACGGCGUGGUGUCAGCGUGGCUACAAAGCGACAGUCUGGAUGCUGCCGAGCAGCAGCGCAGAAAGGAGGCGGCACAGGAGGAACGGUCAGAGGUUUCCUCCUUCUUCAAAAAAAAAAAGAAAAAAAAAAAGAAAAAGAAAAAAAAGCUAGCCUCUUGUGUGGCUGAAAUGGAACUCAGUGUCACUGAGAAACAAGCCUCCUUUAUACGCAGCCCAGGACAACGUGUUUAUUUAUUUAUUUUUAACAGUCGCGAGUUACAGUACUCCGCACCCUCCACGCACUCUUUGCAACCACAUGUCCUUUUCAAAAGUCUCUUUUUCCCAAACAUUCCAUCCAAAGGAUGAAUGGUCUCUUUGCACCAGUAACAUCCAAAUGUUCAAGUCAAAAAUAUGUGUACAUUUUAUACUUAGUUCUUUUUUUUUUUUUUUUGUCUGCUAAAAAUAGUAUUGCAAGUUUUGGCUUCUUUUGACAUAAAAAUUACAAUCAUGUGCGAAACGCUAACAAUGAAGCGAUUGAUCAGAAUUCAAGCAGGUUGUCCAAUCUGAAUGUGUUAUAGAUUCUGCAUAAUUUUUCUUUUCAUUUUUUUUUUCCAGCGAAACAAAACAAACACACACACAAACAAAAACCAGAAACCCUUGCCAUGUCAGAAACAUCUUGUACCGAGCCCCCGCGCUCUCCGGCCGCCAGCGGGUGACACGCUCGCCCGGGGCUGGCUGGCUGACAGAGUGACAAAUUCCCGCAGCAGCAACGUUCGGAAACAGUAGUUAAAGCUCAAGACAGCUAUGCACUCUCCAUUCUGCGUUGAGGAUUUACCGCUGCAGAGGCAAAAAAGCAGGUUUUCUCGGAGUUCUCGGUUGGUGAACGGGCCAGAGGCCUUUUUCUACUUGUAGCAAGCUAUUUCCCUAAAAAUAACCCGUUUGAGGGGCACCUAAGCAGUCAACGGCUGGGGUGGCAGGCACUGGGCCAGUGCUGGAACGUUCCGGCCAUCGGGU